rnacentral:rRNA from 1 species
UACGGAGGGUGCAAGCGUUAUCCGGAUUCACUGGGUUUAAAGGGUGCGUAGGCGGGUAGGUAAGUCCGUGGUGAAAUCUCCAAGCUUAACUUGGAAACUGCCGUGGAUACUAUUUGUCUUGAAUAUAGUGGAGGUGAGCGGAAUAUGUCAUGUAGCGGUGAAAUGCUUAGAUAUGACAUAGAACACCCAUUGCGAAGGCAGCUCGCUACACUAUUAUUGACGCUGAGGCACGAAAGCGUGGGGAUCAAACAGG